rnacentral:rRNA from 1 species
GAGCGUGCGUCCUAUUAGCUAGUUGGUGAGGCAAUGGCUCACCAAGGCUACGAUGGGUAGGGGUUCUUAGUGGAAGAUCCCCCACACUGGCACUGAGAUACGGGCCAGACUCCUACGGGAGGCAGCAGUAGGGAAUAUUGGUCAAUGGGCGAAAGCCUGAACCAGCCAUGCCGCGUGCAGGAUGACAGCUCUCUGAGUUGUAAACUGCUUUUGUACAGGAGCAAAACAAUCCCUGCGGGGGUUCUUGAGAGUACUGUAAGAAUAAGCACCGGCUAAUUCCGUGCCAGCAGCCGCGGUAAUACGGAAGGUGCAAGCGUUAUCCGGUUUUAUUGGGUUUAAAGGGUGCGUAGGCGGCUUAUUAAGUCAGUUGUGAAAUCCUAGUGCUUAACGCUAGAACUGCAAUUGAUACUAUUAGGCUUG